UCCAGCCAGGAACGGAUGAGAAAUAGGGGAGAAUGCAAUUGCACUGUGUUACUUCAUCACACACCCUGCUUCCUGGGAGAGUUCUUGGUAUGGGCAGAGGAUGGAUGUAUAAUCUGACCCGCCACACACACUAAAUGAUCUGGCCUUACAAGACACACUGCUACAAUUGGCAAACUACGUCUGGCAAAGAAUUUCCAGCAAUGAGGAAGCAGGAGGGAGAAGUACCAUGGAGUAUUGUAGAAAGCAUGAUCCUUGGAGCUGUCACAAGAGCAAAGCAAGUCAGUGUCCCCACACAGGGUUAUCUGGGAUUAUCCUUUCUCCUGAAAGCAUAGAGUCAGCCCAGUUCACUCACAAAACUAUGAACAAC